rnacentral:rRNA from 1 species
GAUGAACGCUGGCGGCGUGCCUAAUACAUGCAAGUCGAGCGAACGGACGAGAAGCUUGCUUCUCUGAUGUUAGCGGCGGACGGGUGAGUAACACGUGGAUAACCUACCUAUAAGACUGGGAUAACUUCGGGAAACCGGAGCUAAUACCGGAUAAUAUUUUGAACCGCAUGGUUCAAAAGUGAAAGACGGUCUUGCUGUCACUUAUAGAUGGAUCCGCGCUGCAUUAGCUAGUUGGUAAGGUAACGGCUUACCAAGGCAACGAUGCAUAGCCGACCUGAGAGGGUGAUCGGCCACACUGGAACUGAGACCCGGCCCAGACUCCUACGGGAGGCAGCAGUAGGGAAUCUUCCGCAAUGGGCGAAAGCCUGACGGAGCAACGCCGCGUGAGUGAUGAAGGUCUUCGGAUCGUAAAACUCUGUUAUUAGGGAAGAACAUAUGUGUAAGUAACUGUGCACAUCUUGACGGUACCUAAGCAGAAAGCCACGGCUAACUACGU